CUAACAUAUGCGCGAGUCGAGGAGUGGAGAAACUCUAUGGCGUAACGAAAGUGAAAUGUGAGAUUGUGCGACGUCGAGUCGUGCACGCAUCACAGACCAGUCGGAAGUUUGACUACGAUUGAGUUGGAGCGUAUAUGCUAGAACCCGAUAGAUGGUGACCUAUUCCUGAGCAGAGCGAAUUCAUUGGAAACAAUGAUGGAGGCUCGUAGCGGUUCUGACGUGCAAAUCGAUCGUCAAACUUGGGUAUAGGGGCGAAAGACUUAUCGAACCAUCUAGUAGCUGG
rfam:Thelohanellus kitauei scaffold05350, whole genome shotgun sequence.